CCUACGGGAGGCAGCAGUGGGGAAUUUUGGACAAUGGGCGAAAGCCUGAUCCAGCAAUGCCGCGUGCAGGAAGAAGGCCUUCGGGUUGUAAACUGCUUUUGUACGGAACGAAACGGUCCUUUUUAAUACAAGGGGCUAAUGACGGUACCGUAAGAAUAAGCACCGGCUAACUACGUGCCAGCAGCCGCGGUAAUACGUAGGGUGCGAGCGUUAAUCGGAAUUACUGGGCGUAAAGCGUGCGCAGGCGGUUAUAUAAGACAGUUGUGAAAUCCCCGGGCUCAACCUGGGAAUUGCAUCUGUGACUGUAUAGCUAGAGUACGGUAGAGGGGGAUGGAAUUCCGCGUGUAGCAGUGAAAUGCGUAGAUAUGCGGAGGAACACCGAUGGCGAAGGCAAUCCCCUGGACCUGUACUGACGCUCAUGCACGAAAGCGUGGGGAGCAAACAGGAUUAGAUACCCUGGUAGUCCACGCCCUAAACGAUGUCAACUGGUUGUUGGGUGCAUUAGUACUCAGUAACGAAGCUAACGCGUGAAGUUGACCGCCUGGGGAGUACGGCCGCAAGGUUGAACUCAAAUGAAUUGACGGCNGAGAGNGCGAGACGACGACGAGGGAGGAGG
rnacentral:rRNA from 1 species